rnacentral:rRNA from 1 species
AUGUUUGUAUGGCGCCUUGCUAGGCAUUCCAUGCCCUGUGGGGAGGUUCUAAAGCAUCGUAAUAUGGCAACGAUUGGCACUUGUAUGCUGUGUGGGGCGAGGGACACUUGGAAACAUGCUUUAUUGAAAUGCAUAAUGGCUGGCGGUGUGUGGGCACUGGCCCCUGAUGAUCUCGUGCAGGCUAUGAGUGAGCGAAAAGAGGACAGGGCCAAGGACUGGCUCUUUGCCAUACAUAAAGUGAUGCCUACAGAUUUAUUUGGAAGGCUCAUAGCGACACUUUGGGCAAUCUGGGGAGUGCGGAGAAAGGCUAUACAUGAGGAUAUUUUUCAGUCUCCGAUUUCCACUAAUGGUUUCAUCAAUAGCUAUUUG